rnacentral:rRNA from 1 species
UGGGGAAUAUUGGACAAUGGGUGAAAGCCUGGUCCAGCCAUGCCGCGUGUGUGAAGAAGGUCUUCGGAUUGUAAAGCACUUUAAGUUGGGAGGAAGGGCAUUAACCUAAUACGUUAGUGUUUUGACGUUACCGACAGAAUAAGCACCGGCUAACUCUGUGCCAGCAGCCGCGGUAAUACAGAGGGUGCAAGCGUUAAUCGGAAUUACUGGGCGUAAAGCGCGCGUAGGUGGUUUGUUAAGUUGGAUGUGAAAGCCCCGGGCUCAACCUGGGAACUGCAUUCAAAACUGACUGACUAGAGUAUGGUAGAGGGUGGUGGAAUUUCCUGUGUAGCGGUGAAAUGCGUAGAUAUAGGAAGGAACACCAGUGGCGAAGGCGACCACCUGGACUAAUACUGACACUGAGGUGC